rnacentral:rRNA from 1 species
AUGAACGCUGGCGGCGUGCCUCAUACAUGCCAGUCGAGCGAACAGACGAGGAGCUUGCUCCUCUGACGUUAGCGGCGGACGGGUGAGUAACACGUGGAUAACCUGCCUAUAAGACUGGGAUAACUUCGGGAAACCGGAGCUAAUACCGGAUAAUAUAUUGAACCGCAUGGUUCAAUAGUGAAAGACGGUUUUGCUGUCACUUAUAGAUGGAUCCGCGCCGCAUUAGCUAGUUGGUAAGGUAACGGCUUACCAAGGCAACGAUGCGUAGCCGACCUGAGAGGGUGAUCGGCCACACUGGAACUGAGACACGGUCCAGACUCCUACGGGAGGCAGCAGUAGGGAAUCUUCCGCAAUGGGCGAAAGCCUGACGGAGCAACGCCGCGUGAGUGAUGAAGGUCUUCGGAUCGUAAAACUCUGUUAUUAGGGAAGAACAAAUGUGUAAGUAACUAUGCACGUCUUGACGGUACCUAAUCAGAAAGCCACGGCUAACUACGUG